rnacentral:lncRNA from 1 species
GCUGCUUUACAGACACACACAAGCAAUGGUAUGCUACCUCAUUUAUCUCCUGAAAAAUGAUCUAACUAACUAGUCAGACAGCUUUUGGUGAUGUUAUUCAAGACUGGUAGUGAUUAGGGGUAAAUGCUUCACUUGUUUUGUAUUUUGUAGUAGAGAUAAGAGACUAGAGGAAAUACUGGAUGUGCUUCGUUUUUAAGUGUAAUUAUCAAACACCACAACCAGGAUGGAGCUGUUGCCUGGAGGUAUAUAGGACAACCAGGAUGGAGCUGUUGCCUGGAGGUAUGUGGGACAACCAGGAUGGAGCUGUUGCCUGGAGGUAUAUAGGACAACCAGGAUGGAGCUGUUGCCUGGAGGUAUGUGGGACAACCAGGAUGGAGCUGUUGCCUGGAGGUAUAUAGGACAACCAGGAUUGAGCUGUUGCCUGGAGGUAUGUGGGACAGCCAGGAUGGAGCUGUUGCCUGGAGGUAUAUAGGACAACCAGGAUUGAGCUGUUGCCUGGAGGUAUGUGGGACAACCAGGAUGGAGCUGUUGCCUGGAGGUAUAUAGGACAACCAGGAUGGAGCUGUUGCCUGGAGGUAUGUGAGACAACCAGGAUGGAGCUGUUGCCUGGAGGUAUAUGGGACAACCAGGAUUGAGCUGUUGCCUGGAGGUAUAUAGGACAACCAGGAUGGAGCUGUUGCCUGGAGGUAUAUAGGACAACCAGGAUUGAGCUGUUGCCUGGAGGUAUGUGGGACAACCAGGAUUGAGCUGUUGCCUGGAGGUAUGUGGGACAACCAGGAUUGAGCUGUUGCCUGGAGGUAUAUGGGACAACCAGGAUGGAGCUGUUGCCUGGAGGUAUAUGGGACAACCAGGAUUGAGCUGUUGCCUGAAGGUAUAUGGGACAACCAGGAUGGAGCUGUUGCCUGGAGGUAUAUGGGGAACGGUUCAGUGUUCAGGGUGUUGCACAUCUGUAACCCUACUGCCAGGAAGUGCCCUCCUGACCUCCCAUUACAUCAUCAGACCACUGGACAGGCCUCUCUGAUAGCUCCUGAUGGGUUGGCUCAACACAGGUCCAUCCUGCCUCAGUUUCCUCAGACACUAUGGAGAUAAUAGAAACUAGCUGGGCUAUAUUUAAACUCUCUUCCCUUGCGCGUGCAGGCCAGACCACGGCACCAACCAAAAUAGGCACAAAAGGAGGCUGUGGAGGCCUGUCUGUUUUUACAUUGUUCGCCGGUCCAGCCAUCAAAAUAAACAACAUCAGUGUGUCUCAUUCAUUGCAGCAUAGCUGAUCCUAUAGAGGUCUGGGCUUAAUGGAUUUCUCCUCAGAGCCAGAGUGACGUGACUACCAGGGGUGUGUGGGGACACUGUCUGCUCUCUGCCACCUCAAUGAGGUCAAUGUCUGCCUGCAGUAGUCAUUACAUCAGAUAGAGCGACGAAUCUACCUGCACUGAUCAGUGGACCUUAACAUAAUUCACGAAGUCAUCACCUAUCCUAUGCAUGGAAAGAUAGACCUGUUGUAUGCAAGUUUAAAGUAUGUGAUAGUAAAGUUUAUAAAUAUGCUUUAAUAAAAUCAAUGCGACUGGGAAACAUUUCGGAACGUUAGGGCUUAACUUGUUCCAUCUAGACAGAAAAUCAUUCUCUUUUGUCAGACAAACAGGAAUCUAUUGAUAGGCUACUAAAACGGUAGGUUAAUGCCUGCAAUGAUAAAGUGGUGGAAACAAAUGGUUGUAUCAAGUAGACCAGGGAAAAUCAUGAGCUGACGCCCCCAUACCAGACACCACGUAACCAUAAUAGACACCAUGUAACCAUAAUAGACACUAUGUAACCAUAACAGACACUAUGUAACCAUAACAGACCCUAUGUAACCAUAACAGACCCUAUGUAACCAUAACAGACCCUAUGUAACCAUAACAGACCCUAUGUAACCAUAACAGACCCUAUGUAACCAUAACAGACCCUAUGUAACCAUACCAGACACCAUGUAACCAUAAUAGACACCAUGUAACCAUAAUAGACACUAUGUAACCAUAACAGACCCUAUGUAACCAUAACAGACCCUAUGUAACCAUAACAGACCCUAUGUAACCGUAACAGACCCUAUGUAACCAUAACAGACCCUAUGUAACCAUAACAGACACUAUGUAACCAUAACAGACCCUAUGUAACCAUAACAGACACUAUGUAACCAUAACAGACCCUAUGUAACCAUAACAGACCCUAUGUAACCAUAACAGACACUAUGUAACCAUAACAGACCCUAUGUAACCAUAACAGACCCUAUGUAACCAUAACAGACACUAUGUAACCAUAAUAUACACUAUGUAACCAUAACAGACCCUAUGUAACCAUAACAGACCCUAUGUAACCAUAACAGACACUAUGUAACCAUAAUAGACACUAUGUAACCAUAACAGACACUAUGUAACCAUAACAGACCCUAUGUAACCAUAAUAGACACCAUAUAACCAUAACAGACCCUAUGUAACCAUAACAGACCCUAUGUAACCAUAACAGACCCUAUGUAACCAUAACAGACACUAUGUAACCAUAACAUACCCUAUGUAACCAUAACAGACACUAUGUAACCAUAAUAGACACUAUGUAACCAUAAUAGACACUAUGUAACCAUAACAGACCCUAUGUAACCAUAAUAGACACUAUGUAACCAUAAUAGACACCAUGUAACCAUAACAGACACUAUGUAACCAUAACAGACACCAUGUAACCAUAAUAGACACCAUGUAACCAUAACAGACACUAUGUAACCAUAACAGACCCUAUGUAACCAUAACAGACACUAUGUAACCAUAACAGACCCUAUGUAACCAUAACAGACACUAUGUAACCAUAACAUACCCUAUGUAACCAUAACAGACACUAUGUAACCAUAAUAGACACUAUGUAACCAUAAUAGACACUAUGUAACCAUAACAGACCCUAUGUAACCAUAAUAGACACUAUGUAACCAUAAUAGACACCAUGUAACCAUAACAGACACUAUGUAACCAUAACAGACACCAUGUAACCAUAAUAGACACUAUGUAACCAUAACAGACCCUAUGUAACCAUAACAGACACUAUGUAACCAUAACAGACCCUAUGUAACCAUAAUAGACCCUAUGUAACCAUAACAGACCCUAUGUAACCAUAACAGACCCUAUGUAACCAUAAUAGACACUAUGUAACCAUAAUAGACACCAUGUAACCAUAACAGACACUAUGUAACCAUAACAGACACCAUGUAACCAUAAUAGACACUAUGUAACCAUAACAGACCCUAUGUAACCAUAACAGACACUAUGUAACCAUAACAGACCCUAUGUAACCAUAAUAGACCCUAUGUAACCAUAACAGACCCUAUGUAACCAUAACAGACCCUAUGUAACCAUAACAGACCCUAUGUAACCAUAACAGACACUAUGUAACCAUAAUAGACACUAUGCAACCAGAACAGACACUAUGUAACCAUAACAGACACUAUGUAACCAUAACAGACACUAUGUAACCAUAACAGACACCAUAUAACUUCUGUGCUCUGUGACUCUUAUCCUGACCUUUGAUUGACCCAGUAGCUAACUCUUCUACACUGGAGACCUGCUGCUUUUAACCAGCCAAGGUCGUGGUGCUCAUUUGUGCAAGCCAGGUUGCUCCUGUGGUAUUUAGACUUCUCUCAUGUGGUACUAAGAUGAUCAUUAGGCUCCAUUACGGAAAAGAGAAUGGUUAAGUGAUCAUUAUGAAAAGGGAAUGGGCUGAAUGUAAGUGAAGGAUUUACAACUUGUCCUGGAAUACAUUGUAGCCUUUUGCUUUGUCCUUUUAUGUGAUCUGAAAUAUUAGAGCUGGAUACGCUACCAUAACAAUGACCUCAUAAUUCACAAGAUGUGGGCUACGUGGUUCAAUGCUGAUCCAUGUUGAAGGUGUUUAAUAAAGCCACUGAAAAAAAAACAUGAAGUCAUACAAUUCUGCACUGUCUGUUGUAACAAUACUGGUUUGUGAGGUUUAGUAGAUAUGGCUGUCAUCACAUCCUUAUUUACAGUUUUCCCCAAUUGUUUACACACUAAAAUUGGAACUUGAAACACAAUCACUGUGUCACGCCCUGACCAGGUGAACUCGGG